rnacentral:rRNA from 1 species
UGUGUAGGCGGCCUGUUAAGUUCCGUGUGAAAUCUCCCGGCUCAACUGGGAGGGUGCGCGGAAAACUGGCGGGCUAGAGUGCGGGAUGGGAGAGUAGAAUUCCUGGUGUAGCGGUGAAAUGCGUAGAUAUCAGGAGGAAUACCGGUGGUGUAGACGGCUCUCUGGACCGUAACUGACGCUGAGACACGAAAGCGUGGGUAGCGAACAGGAUUAGAUACCCUGGUAGUCCACGCCCUAAACGAUGCAUAUUUGGUGUAGGUCAUUCAGUUGAUCUGUGCCGGAGCUAACGCGUUAAAUAUGCCGCCUGGGGAGUACAGUCGCAAGGCUGAA